rnacentral:rRNA from 1 species
UGGGGAAUAUUGCACAAUGGGCGCAAGCCUGAUGCAGCCAUGCCGCGUGUAUGAAGAAGGCCUUCGGGUUGUAAAGUACUUUCAGCGGGGAGGAAGGCGAUAAGGUUAAUAACCUUGUCGAUUGACGUUAACCGCAGAAGAAGCACCGGCUAACUCCGUGCCAGCAGCCGCGGUAAUACGGAGGGUGCAAGCGUUAAUCGGAAUUACUGGGCGUAAAGCGCACGCAGGCGGUCUGUCAAGUCGGAUGUGAAAUCCCCGGGCUAAACGUGGGAACUGCAUUCGAAACUGGCAGGCUAGAGUCUUGUAGAGGGGGGUAGAAUUCCAGGUGUAGCGGUGAAAUGCGUAGAGAUCUGGAGGAAUACCGGGGGCGAAGGCGGCCGCCUGGACAAAGACUGACGCUCAGGUGCGAAAGCGUGGGGAGCAAACA